rnacentral:rRNA from 1 species
AUUGAACGCUGGCGGCAUGCCUUACACAUGCAAGUCGAACGGCAGCAUAGGAGCUUGCUCCUGAUGGCGAGUGGCGAACGGGUGAGUAAUAUAUCGGAACGUGCCCUAGAGUGGGGGAUAACUAGUCGAAAGACUAGCUAAUACCGCAUACGAUCUACGGAUGAAAGUGGGGGAUCGCAAGACCUCAUGCUCCUGGAGCGGCCGAUAUCUGAUUAGCUAGUUGGUGGGGUAAAAGCUCACCAAGGCGACGAUAAGUAGCUGGGCGGAGAGGACGACCAGCCACACUGGGACUGAGACACGGCCCAGACUCCUACGGGAGGCAGCAGUGGGGAAUUUUGGACAAUGGGGGCAACCCUGAUCCAGCAAUGCCGCGUGAGUGAAGAAGGCCUUCGGGUUGUAAAGCUCUUUUGUCAGGGAAGAAACGGUUCUGGAUAAUACCUGGGACUAAUGACGGUACCUGAAGAAUAAGCACCGGCUAACUACGUGCCAGCAGCCGCGGUAAAAC